UCUGCAUUCAGAUGGGUAUAUCUUUCCUUUUGUCCUUUGCCUUUCAUUUCUCUUCUUUUUCUCAGCUAUUUGUAAGGCCUGCUCAGACAGCCAUUUUGCCUUUUUGCAUUUCUUUUUCUUGGGGCUGGUUUUGAUCACCAUCUUCUGUACAUUACUAACCUCUGUCCUUAGUUCUUCAGGCUUUUUAUCAGAUGUAAGCCCUUGA